rnacentral:rRNA from 1 species
UGGGGAAUAUUGCACAAUGGGCGCAAGCCUGAUGCAGCCAUGCCGCGUGUAUGAAGAAGGCCUUCGGGUUGUAAAGUACUUUCAGUCGGGAGGAAGGUGGUAAGGUUAAUAACCUUAUCAAUUGACGUUACCGACAGAAGAAGCACCGGCUAACUCCGUGCCAGCAGACGCGGUAAUACGGAGGGUGCAAGCGUUAAUCGGAAUUACUGGGCGUAAAGCGCACGCAGGCGGUUGAUUGAGUCAGAUGUGAAAUCCCCGGGCUUAACCCGGGAAUUGCAUCUGAUACUGGUCAGCUAGAGUCUUGUAGAGGGGGGUAGAAUUCCAUGUGUAGCGGUGAAAUGCGUAGAGAUGUGGAGGAAUACCGGUGGCGAAGGCGGCCCCCUGGACAAAGACUGACGCUCAGGUGCGAAAGCGUGGGGAGCAAACAGG